rnacentral:lncRNA from 1 species
GGGAGGAGAAAACUUGGCAGAAGCACCAGUCCGUAAUUCAGAAAUGAUUCCGCCUUAUCGCAUUCUGCAAAUAUCACGCAUAGUGGGAAGUUAAAUUACUGCAUACUGCAAGUGCAGGCAGAGAGAGCACCAUUACGGCCCAGCAAAGGUCUUGCUCUGGGACAUCUGUGAGAGGCAGAAGCCAGCUCUAACCUUGUGCAUGGCAGAAUUCACGUGUGCAGGGCUGCAUCCAGGUUUGUUCCUGCCUCAGCCCCAUUGCCACACUUGCAGAUCUUGUCUGUGACAAAUGCCAGCUGACAAAUUCCACGUUCAGCACUUGGGAUGCACGUGGCAGGAUGGGGACUGUGAGAAGAGGAGAUUUUCUCUUCGGUGGCAUUAAUUACAGGUCGAUCUUCUCCCAUUCUGCAUGCUGUGCAUGGAGGAGAAAAUCUGGCCGAUCUUGCUUAACUAAAUCACAACUUGGACCAUAGGCCUGGAAUCAGGAUCCAUUUGGAUGCUUUAACCUCCAGUGAAUAGCGAAUAGAAUAUGCUGAUGUUAUGCAGUGCAAAAUAAAACAAUAUGUGUAAUGAGCUGAUUUAAAAUG